UCGACGCCCUCUUUCUGCACUUUCCUGAACAGAUAUGGAUUAUCAAUGCAACCUAUCUCAAAUAAGCGACCUCAUCUUUAAUGGCAUCUACAAAAUGGGCCUAUCUGGAGAUGACGAAGAGGAGCUCGAAAGAUUUGAUGAUUUUACACUCGCCUCUGCUUGGGAAAGGUUUAUUUCUGAAAUAGAGGCAGUUUGUAGGCAGUGGCUUGCCGAUGGUCCAAAAAUUUACGAGAAAAGGGUGCAGUUAAGUUGGAUUUUUCAGCUAUAGAAGGUUAAAUUCGACCCUAAACACACGACGAAAAGCUAUAACAUGGAGUCUUAUUUUGAAACCAACAGCGGCGGUACUUGAAGCAUUUUGUUCUAAAAUUGUAUUAGUUCUCGCGGUAGAUUUUUAUGGAAUCUUUUUUCUUCAUUUAAUUUUUAGAUGAUGCAGGAAAAAUUGUGGAUGAGAAUUGUAUCUUGCAUGAUUUGCAGUUUUGCUUUGGAGGGAGAAUUUUUUGGUAUCUGCAAAGUCGCUGUGUUGCAGUUUGCUCUGCUCUAUUUGAUGUUUUGUUGUAGUCAUAGCUAAUGUGUUUUUGGAUCACCAGGUUAUUGCUCCUCAAAGUGCUAGUGGUGUGGUUCUUGAUUCACCUGAUGCUUGUAAAUUCUGGAGUGCGUUUGCAAUUGCUUUGAAAAUUGCUCCAGCUUGUGGCCAGCUUUUGUUCCAGUUCAUGAUCUUUCUAGGAAGGCUUAUAUUGGAAUUCAAAAUAUGGGAACUGUUUUUACUAGAAGAUGUGAGGCUGAUCAUAUUGGUAGCUAGGUUCCUGUAAACAACCAAUACGGGCAUCAUAUUCAUCUGACCACAUAUUCCAGCUGUGUUUCUUCCUUCUUGUGCCAAGCCCUUUGUCACAGGAUGGUUUGCAUGGGACUGGAACGACGACAUGACGGCCUAGCAUGAAGCAUGUGGACACUGUAUCUGAUCUUUUGAAAUCUUCUGAUCAUAACAGGAGGGGCUCAGCUGGUGUUGCGGGUUCUAUGGAGCUUCUGAAGUUGUAUCAGAGCAUGCAUGGCCCCUUCACACAGGAAGCUCCACUUAUUACAGAAGACAUGCAUGAAGAAAGACUGCAGGCAGUUGAAGCUUCUGGGAAUUCUUUUGUAAGCUCAAAUUAUUUAUUUAUCCACGACCUUUUGUCCCUGGUCAGUUGAUUAUUGCUGUGGCUGUAUCCAUAUAUUACUUAUCACAUCAGUCACGAGGAGCUGUGUCUUGCGAAUGGGAUGAUCGAUGAUCUAAUCUAAAAACUUUCCACUAGUUUUUGAGUGCGGAGGAUUUCUUUGGCACCAGGUAGUUAAGUCUCAAAAAAUUUACAGAAGUUUGUCUUAAUGUCUGAUACUGGUGGUGUACCUGAUUCAACUAAAAAUUUUCAUCGCGGGAGGACAGGUAGCACUGGCUGAUCUUAGUUGGGAUUCAUCAUGUUCAAUAAAGCACGGGUAUUGACUAUCCCUUAGUUCACCAUCAUUAGAGAGGAAAAAGGAAGUGCUAAACCCUAGUUCUGUUCAGUAAAACUGAGCAAGUUUUUCAAAUAUUAUAUGCUUCAAGAAGUGCAACAGAUUUCAAACACCUCCACAUGCAAUUUUAAAAUGAGUAUCCUUGUUACUCUUGAUGGAUCAUCUUAUAAUCUGGAUUAUGGAAUCUAACAUGUGAUGAGCAGAGUAAUUUUUCCAAAGUUUUCUGUUUAUUAAACAAGGGGGUGUAUUUUUUUUUUAUUUUGUGUAAAUUUAUUUAACGAGGAAGCUUUAUACUAUUUUAUUGCAGAACUUCUCUGCUCAGUUGGGGAAGGAUAUCUUAUCAUCAGGCACUAAAUAAGCUUCCGUUUUAUUCUUUUUAAGUCCUUGGUAUUGUCAACUGUUUAUUUAUUGUUGCCUUUCUGUAUCCACAUCCAAAUAUUAUUUCAAUAACAUAACAAAAUUAAAUCAGGGGAGGGGCUUGGAUAACAAGCAAAACAUUUUUUUUUCUUCUUAAGAAUUAUAGAAAACAACAACGGUUUACAUUAUAAUAGAAGAGGAGCCUAUUUUGUUCACCAUCUCUAUUUUGUUUGUUGUCAAAUGCUUUCAUUUUCAAAUGCAAACACAUUUUCCCUUUGAAUUUCCUAAGAUUUUAUAUUGCAAUCUUUGGAAAAAUUUGAGCUGGACAUGUCAGCAUUCAAAGCAGCAAACCAAGAUGCUGUCUUUGAAGAUUUUAUUCGGUGGCAUUCACCGCGGGGAUUGGGAUAAUGAUGGUAGCAAGGAAAGGAGACCAUCUAAAAGUCCAGGGAAAAAGGGUUUGAAGGAUGAUUGGCCACCACUUGGCCGACUUUCACAACAGAUGUCUGAGCAAGGGAAUUUAUGGCACAAGAUUUGGAAUGGUGCUCCUGCUUUGCCAGCAUAUGAGUAGAAACCUCUACUAGACCCCUUUCGGAAAGGAUAGAAGAUCUACUAAUUGCAAACAGCGAUCUGAUUGGCUAGUCAAUGAAGAGGUUGCUUGCAUGCAAGAUCAUUGCAUUUUUUUAGUAAAUGAGGAAGCAGAUUGCAAGUUCACGGGUCUCUUUGGCUCUUUCAGGUAAAAAUAAGAAUAAAAUAAAGAUCAAUGUCUUGACUGAUAUCUUAUAUCUUGUUCAGGGUGCUUUCUUGUGUCUUUCUAGUUACCUGUUCUUGCAUGUAUUGAUUCAAUA